GAUCCUGGCUCAGGAUGAACGCUAGCGGCAGGCCUAAUACAUGCAAGUCGAACGGUAAGUCCCUCGGGGGAUUGAGAGUGGCGGACGGGUGCGUAACGCGUAUGCAACCAACCCCCUCACCGGGAUAGCCGGUGGAAACGCCGGAUAAGACCGGAUGCGCCCAUGGGGAGGCAUCUCCCUGCGGGCAAGGCGGCGACGCGGAGGGGGACGGGCAUGCGUGCCAUUAGCUUGUUGGCGGGCGACGGCCCACCAAGGCGACGAUGGCUAGGGGAUCUGAGAGGACGGUCCCCCACACUGGUACUGAGACACGGACCAGACUCCUGCGGGAGGCAGCAGUAGGGAGCUUUCGGCAAUGGGGGGAACCCUGACCGAGCAAUGCCGCGUGAAGUUAUGAAGGUCUUAUGGAUCGUAAGGCUCUGUUGUAGGGGAUGAAACGUCUAGGGAGGAAAUGUCCUAGACUUGACAGUACCUUACCAGAAAGCCACGGCUAACUACGUGCCAGCCGCCGC
rnacentral:rRNA from 1 species